rnacentral:rRNA from 1 species
UGAGUAACACGUAUGCAACCUGCCUGCCACAGUCGGAUAAUCGGGAGAAAUUCCGUCUAAUACGGCAUAAUGCAUCGACGGGACAUCCUGUUGGUGCCAAAGGUUAAUUCCGGUGGCGGAUGGGCAUGCGUCGCAUUAGUUAGUUGGCGGUGUAACGGACCACCAAGACGACGAUGCGUAGGGGUUCUGAGAGGAAGGUCCCCCACACUGGUACUGAGACACGGACCAGACUCCUACGGGAGGCAGCAG